UGAAAAAUAUGGUGAAAUGGCUGACUGCUGUGCAAAACAAGAACCUGAGAGAAAUGAAUGCUUCUUGCAACACAAAGAUGACAACCCAAACCUCCCCCGAUUGGUGAGACCAGAGGUUGAUGUGAUGUGCACUGCUUUUCAUGACAAUGAAGGGACAUUUUUGAAAAAAUACUUAUAUGAAGUUGCCAGAAGACAUCCUUACUUUUAUGCCCCAGAACUCCUUUUCUUUGCUGAAAGGUAUAAAGCUGCUUUUACAGAAUGUUGCCAAGCUGCUGAUAAAGCUGCCUGCCUGUUGCCAAAGCUCGAUGAACUUCGGGAUGAAGGGAAGGCUUCGUCUGCCAAACAGAGACUCAAGUGUGCCAGUCUCCAAAAAUUUGGAGAAAGAGCUUUCAAAGCAUGGGCAGUAGCUCGCCUGAGCCAGAGAUUUCCCAAAGCUGAGUUUGCAGAAGUUUCCAAGUUAGUGACAGAUCUUACCAAAGUCCACACGGAAUGCUGCCAUGGAGAUCUGCUUGAAUGUGCUGAUGACAGGGCGGACCUUGCCAAGUAUAUCUGUGAAAAUCAAGAUUCGAUCUCCAGUAAACUGAAGGAAUGCUGUGAAAAACCUCUGUUGGAAAAAUCCCACUGCCUUGCCGAAGUGGAAAAUGAUGAGAUGCCUGCUGACUUGCCUUCAUUAGCUGCUGAUUUUGUUGAAAGUAAGGAAGUUUGCAAAAACUAUGCUGAGGCAAAGGAUGUCUUCCUGGGCAUGUUUUUGUAUGAAUAUGCAAGAAGGCAUCCUGAUUACUCUGUCGUGCUGCUGCUGAGACUUGCCAAGACAUAUGAAACCACUCUAGAGAAGUGCUGUGCCGCUGCAGAUCCUCAUGAAUGCUAUGCCAAAGUGUUCGAUGAAUUUAAACCUCUUGUGGAAGAGCCUCAGAAUUUAAUCAAACAAAAUUGUGAGCUUUUUGAGCAGCUUGGAGAGUACAAAUUCCAGAAUGCCUAUCCGUGGUGCUGAACCAGUUAUGUGUGUUGCAUGAGAAAACGCCAGUCAGUGACAGAGUCACCAAAUGCUGCACAGAAUCCUUGGUGAACAGGCGACCAUGCUUUUCAGCUCUGGAAGUCGAUGAAACAUACGUUCCCAAAGAGUUUAAUGCUGAAACAUUCACCUUCCAUGCAGAUAUAUGCACACUUUCUGAGAAGGAGAGACAAAUCAAGAAACAAACUGCACUUGUUGAGCUCGUGAAACACAAGCCCAAGGCAACAAAAGAGCAACUGAAAGCUGUUAUGGAUGAUUUCGCAGCUUUUGUAGAGAAGUGCUGCAAGGCUGACGAUAAGGAGACCUGCUUUGCCGAGGAGGGUAAAAAACUUGUUGCUGCAAGUCAAGCUGCCUUAGGCUUAUAACAUCACAUUUAAAAGCAUCUCAGCCUACCAUGAGAAUAAGAGAAAGAAAAUGAAGAUCCAAAGCUUAUUCAUCUGUUUUUCUUUUUCGUUGGUGUAAAGCCAACACCCUGUCUAAAAAACAUAAAUUUCUUU
rnacentral:sRNA from 1 species